AAGCUUCGACCAAGGUUCGACUCGAGCGUCAGCGAGAGAGCGUCAGCGAGAGAGCGUUGCCGCAGGCAACGACCCGAAGGGCGAAGCGCGCAGCGCUGAGUAAUCCUUCCCCCACCACCA
rnacentral:sRNA from 1 species